rnacentral:rRNA from 1 species
UAGGGAAUAUUGCACAAUGGGCGAAAGCCUGAUGCAGCAACGCCGCGUGCACGAUGAAGGUCUUCGGAUCGUAAAGUGCUUUUCUGGGAGAUGAGAAUGGACAGUAUCCCAGGAAUAAGUCUCGGCUAACUACGUGCCAGCAGCCGCGGUAAAACGUAGGAGGCAAGCGUUAUCCGGAUUCACUGGGCGUAAAGCGCGUGCAGGCGGCUCGGUAAGUUGGGCGUGAAAUCUCCUGGCUUAACUAGGAGAGGCCGUCCAAUACUACCGGGCUAGAGAGCAGUAGAGGAAGAUGGAAUUCCCGGUGUAGUGGUGAAAUGCGUAGAUAUCGGGAGGAACACCAGUGGCGAAGGCGAUCUUCUGGACUGUUUCUGACGCUCAGACGCGAAAGCUAGGGUAGUAAACGGGAUUAGAGACCCCGGUAAUCCUAGCCGUAAACGAUGUGAACUUGGCGUCGGUAGCUUAAACACUAUCGGUGCCGCAGCAAACGCGAA